GCUGGGCAUGGUGGCGGGUGCCUGUAGUCCCAGCUACUCAGGAGGCUGAGGCAGGAGAAUCGCUUGAACCCAGGAGAUAGAAGUUGCAGUGAGAUGAGAUUGUGCCACUGCACUCCAGCCUGGGUGACAGAGUGAGACUCUGUCUCAA
ensembl:misc_RNA Metazoa_SRP Metazoan signal recognition particle RNA